UGGCUCAUCAUAAGCGUUCCCACUUCGUAGGGUAAUGGCAUUGGCUUGUCCUCUUGGAUUUUGUUGAGGUUGUCCAGGGAAUUGUCCUCCAGGUGUAGUCUGAGGGGCUUGGUUUAAAGCUACCUGAGAGAUAUGGGUUUCAAGCAUCUUGGUAUGAGUAACUAUUUGGUCAACCUUGGUUCCUAACUGAGUAAUCAAUUCGUUAACAUGAAUGUUUUGG
rnacentral:lncRNA from 1 species